AGAGUUUGAUCAUGGCUCAGGACGAACGCUGGCGGCGUGCCUAACACAUGCAAGUCGAACGGAGAUUUCAGCAAUGGAAUCUUAGUGGCGAACGGGUGAGUAACGCGUAGACAACCUACCUUCUAGAUGGGGACAACACUGCGAAAGUGGUGCUAAUACCGAAUGUUGUAUCUUAGAUGCAUAUGUAAGAUACUAAAGGUGGCCUCUAUUUAUAAGCUACCACUAGAAGAUGGGUCUGCGUCUGAUUAGCUAGUUGGUGAGGUAAUGGCUCACCAAGGCGACGAUCAGUAGCCGGUCUGAGAGGAUGAACGGCCACACUGGGACUGAGACACGGCCCAGACUCCUACGGGAGGCAGCAGUGGGGAAUCUUCCGCAAUGGACGAAAGUCUGACGGAGCAACGCCGCGUGAGUGAAGAAGGUUUUCGGAUCGUAAAACUCUGUUUUCAGGGACGAAUGUGCGAAUAUGUGAAUAAUGUGUUGUAGAUGACGGUACCUGACAGAAAGGCCCGGCUAACUACUGCCAGCAGCCGCGGUA
rnacentral:rRNA from 1 species